rnacentral:rRNA from 1 species
UGGGGCGCAGCUGACGGAGCAACGCCGCGUGAGUGAUGAAGGCCUUCGGGUUGUAAACUGCUUUUCUCCGGGACGAUAAUGACCGGACCCCGCGAAAAAACCCCGGCUAACUUCCUGCCCGCCGCCCCGGUAAU